rnacentral:lncRNA from 1 species
GGAACGUUUGGAUCACUUGGUCAGGAACGUUUGGAUCUGCUCCAGCCUUCUACAAGCACUUGACGAAUCCGAUGUUGCCACGGUGGCUGCACGCUAACAACAGAGGGAUCACUCCACUGAAUCCACUGGCAUCAACAUUAGCCCCACCCUAGGUAACAUUUCCACGCGAGAAAUCGAUAUGCGCAAUUCAUGUGGAAAUUCUAUGGAACUCCAGCGAUCCAAGCAUUGCAAGUGCUACUUCAAAAAUAACCGCCAUGUCGCGACAAUGCAAAUACCUAGUAUGAUUUAUGCAAUCAACAGGAACUUGGAGAUCAAUUAGCAGAAGAUAAAGUAUUGUAGCACCUCAAUGAGCAGCUUCAUGCAUUCCACGGAGCCACCACAAGAAGCGAUGAGAGAUGAGACCAAGGGUGUGAAGACACGGCUGGCACCAUACGAACGGCCGGACAUACAUCACCGUGCCGCGGAUCCUCCCCUCCAUACACGAAUCCUUGUUCUUCCCCGUCAACAGUCACAUGCAAGCAGUGGACGACCGCCGGAUCCGGAUCACAGAUCCGACGGCUAGGAGAACCUCCCAGCUCCCACGCGCGCAUCCCGUAGACGCCUCCUGCCCCAGGCGCUCGAUCCCUGGAACGGAGAGCCACCCGACGCUGCGCCGACGACCUCGCAGCCUCCCGACGCCGGUGAUCUAUCGGACGGAGGCGGCCAGUAGUGGGCGGUGGCAGCGAUGACGCGCGAGAGAGAGAUGGGGAAAAGGGAGAUAUUCCAGCGAACCAGAAACGGAAAGGGAUGGCGAUCUCGGACCUCGGCGGCAGCGAUCUCGGAUCUCGGCGGUGGUGAAGGGCUCCACAAUGGCGGCGGCGAAGGGCUCCACGAUGGCGGCAGCGGCGUGCUUGUCAGGACCCGGCUGAUCUGCAGCUCCUAACUGAAGAACAGAGCAGCUACUCUGAAGAAAUCGACAGCGAUGACGAAGCGGUACGCACUUGGGAAUGGAUGGCUGGGAUGAAGCAGAUGGACAUCAACGGACGACAACUGUAACGGGUUCUGUUCACCUUCACGCCGUUGCCGCCACCCUCCUGAAGCCUACAGUGACGAAGCGCGUCAACCCCGGCGUCGCCACCAACCUACCAGCUAUUUAGCCCCUUCGAGACGUCUCUGGAGUCAUCUUUCCCUUUCUCCAAGUUGUAAUAGCUAGCCUAAGCUUAGAACCCUAGACUACUUGGUAGAAUUCGGGCAGAUCCUCGAUCUGAACCCCUGUAUCUGUACUCUGUUCCUCAAAUUAAUCCAAUCGGGGCUAGUUCGAGUAGCGGUGUUGUUGAUCAGUGUAAUUUGGUCCUGUCAAUUGGUAUCAGCAGCCAGUCGUUCCUCGGAGGCGAAUCGGUUGAAGCAGGCUGUGGUUGGGUUUUGACUUGGUAAAAUCCCACAGCGGGCUGUCGAUCGCGGCGGCGGAGUUCGUCGGAGGCGGAUUUUGGCGGCGGAAGGGCGAGGUCAUGGGCCAGGGUUGCAGACUUGUUCUGUUGUAAAAUUCCGGAGCCGGUGAUCGCCAUGCCUACCAGGACGAAGCACAUGGACGAGAUCUCGGAGGAGCUCGAAGCUCUUCAGAGCGAAGUCGCUGCGCUCGGCCUGAAACAGGACAAGAUCCAGGAUCAGAUGGAUCUGGUCAACAAUCGCUUGCAGACGGUCGACUCCUUAGAGAAGCAAUUGGGCAAGGUGGAACUCUUGGUUGAAAACAAUUCCAAGGUCCACCAGGAGAUUUUCAAUAUCCUGAGAGAGAUGCGGUCUGAAAAUCCCAGCCCACCCUCCCCUGUUUCUCAAGCAGAAACAACAGUGGUUGUUCCACAGCGGCAAAAUCAGCCAGCACAACCAGAGACUCGGGAAAGAGAGCUAGCAAAUCAAGGGACAACAGUGGUCCAGCAACGAGUGCAACAGUUCCAAGGGCAGUCUUCAGGCACUGCUCGAAAUGAGGGACAACAAGCACCAACACUAGGGAACACAGCAGUGCAGUAUCAAUCCGACAGAGCAAUCCAAUUCAUGAAAUCCAUUUCCAAGGGACCUAAACUGGAUUUUCCUAGCUUUAGUGGUGAGAACCCAUUGGGUUGGAUCAAGCAAGUUAACAAGUACUUUCAGUUAGCACAAACUCCUGACGAAUGCAAGGUGGAUCUAGCACUCACCUAUAUUAUAGGUCGAGCUGAUAACUGGGUAAGAAGUGCCCAAAUGGAUAACAAAGCACUGUUAUGGCAAGAAUUCUGCAGAGCACUGUGUUACCGAUUUGCAGAUUCAAGUAUUUAUGAAGUACUAGAAAAAUUCCACAAUCUGAAGCAGAACACCCUGUCAGUAGCAGCUUACACUGACAAAUUUGAGGAAAUCAUGGCAGUCGUCAGAGAUGAGCACCCUAUUUGCAGGAGAACUACUACAUAGUUAGCUUUGUCAACGGGUUGAAACCUAGCAUACGAUGCAAUCUCAGACCACAAAGGCCAACAACUCUCAGCCAGGCUUAUUGGUUAGCCAGAGACUAUGAAAGUGGACUACAAGCUAAAUAUCAGUCUUAUCAGGAUAAACAACUGCAGUAUCAUUCCUCACAGCAACACAAAGCAACUAUUCCAGCAGCACCCAACUUACAUGUUCCACAAGCAGCACCUGCCACAAAGAAACCUGGAGUAUGUUGGAGAUGCAAUGGUCCAUGGGCACCUGGACACAAAUGCAAACAAGCUCCUGCAAUACAUGCUAUAACAGGAGAAAAUGAGAUCACAAACCUUUCUCCUGGAGAAGAAGCUCAACUAGCAGUCCUAGCAGCUGAAGGACAUCUAACUGAAACCACAGCUGAUUGCAUGCACAUCUCUGCACAAGCAGUUUCAGGAAACCCCUCUUCUUCUACAUUAGCAGCUCACAUCUCUAUUGGGGGCAGACAGGGAGUUGCUUCGACUGACACUGGCAGCACCAAUACAUUUAUUGAUCUCAAGUUUGCUCUCAAGGUCAAGUGCCCACUCAUAAACACCCCCACUAAGAAAGUCACAGUAGCUGGGGGAGGAUCACUCACUUCUGGUGCCUGUGCUCAGUCCUUAAAAUUCAGAAUCGGACAGGAAACAUUCUGCAAUGAUCUGACAGUACUAGAAUUGCAAGGAUAUGAUGUAGUGAUUGGUUGUGACAUGCUCAAAAAGCAUAGCCCAAUUUCCAUGGAUUUUUAAGAAAGAACUGUCACAUUCACCAAGGACAAAGCUACUCAAGUAACCUUUCCUGACUGCACUAGUACUGAGCCACCAAAAGUUAUUACUGCAGAAAAAAUGGACAAAAUAUUGGACAGUGGAGCAGUAGGUUUUGCAAUGAGCUUACACUUCAUGACCACUGGCCAUCUCCCACCAGUACAAGAGGAGCACACCCCUGAAGAUAUCUUGCAAGUUUUAGAGCAGUACAAGGGCCAAUUUCAGGAACCAACUGAACUACCACCCAAGAGGGAAUGUGAUCAUGCAAUUCCCCUUAAGGAAAACUCUACACCUCCAAAUGUGAGACCAUAUAGAGUUCCACACUUACAGAAGAAUGAGAUGGAAUAGCAGAUCAAGAUCCUUCUGGCUAGAAACAUCAUACAGCAUAGCAUGAGCCCAUAUGCAUCUCCUGCUAUUUUAGUCAGGAAAAAAGGAGGAACUUGGAGACUGUGUAUUGAUUACAGAAAACUGAAUGCACAGACAAUCAAAAAUAAAUUUCCUAUACCAGUGAUUGAGGAUUUAUUAGAUGAACUCCAUGGAGCAGCAAUAUUCAGUAAAUUGGACCUCAAGUCAGGAUAUCACCAGAUCAGAAUGAAACCUGAAGACAUACACAAAACAUCAUUCAGAACAUAUUCAGGCCACUUUGAGUUCUUGGUCAUGCCUUUUGGUCUCACUAAUGCUCCUGCAACCUUCCAAGCACUGAUGAACAGGAUAUUUGCACCUUAUUUGAGGAAAUUUGUCUUGGUUUUCUUUGAUGACAUCCUGAUUUUCAGCAAAACCCCAGAGGAACACAAGGAGCAUUUAAAGAUAGUGUUGGACAUUUUGAAAAAGCACAACCUCUUCCUCAACAGAUCCAAGUGCAUAUUUGGUACAGAUACUGUUGAAUAUCUUGGUCAUGUAAUCUCUGCACAAGGUGUUGCAACUGAUCCUGAAAAGAUCACUGCAGUGAAAUAGUGGCCUAUUCCAACCAACACUACUGAAAUAAGGAGUUUCUUAGGGUUGGCAGGGUACUACAGGAGAUUCAUCAAAGAUUAUGGGUUUAUUUGCAGACCACUUCAUGACUUGCUGAAGAAAGAUUCUUUUCUAUGGACAGAGACACACACCAGAGCAUUUCAGACAUUAAAAGAAAGUCUAACAAAUGCACUAGUACUGGCUCUUCCAGAUUUCUCUAUACCAUUUGUCCUGGAAUGUGAUGCUUCAGGAGCUGGAGUGGGAGCUAUCCUCAUGCAGAACAACAAACCUAUUGCCUACUACAGUAAAUCACUGGGCCCUAAAGCAGCUGCAAUGUCCACUUAUGAAAAAGAGGCAAUAGCAAUUUUGGAAUCUUUAAGGAAAUGGAGACACUAUUUUCUGGGAUCCUCAUUAAUCAUAAAGACUGACCACCAAAGUUUGAAGUUCAUCACAGAACAGAGAAUCUCAGAGGGCAUCCCACACAAGCUUAUGCUGAAACUGUUGGAAUUUAAUUAUGUCAUUGAAUAUAAAAAGGGCAAGGAAGAUAGAGUUGCUGAUGCUCUUUCUAGAAAACCACAUCUCAUGUCAAUUUCAAUGGCAGUGCCCAGCUGGACUGAUAACAUAGAGCAAUCUUAUCAGAAUGAUGAUACAUGUAAAAACCUCAUAGCAAGAAUUACUCUGCUGGCAUACUCAGAUACAAGGGCAGGAUUUAUGUGGGUAAUGAUGAGAUUUUCCAACAACAGUUGCUCUCCACUUUCCACUCUUCUCCUAUUGGGGGCCACUCUGGAAUUAGAGCAACUUAUCACAGAAUUCACAGGAUUUUUCACUGGCCUAAACUCAAAGCCAUGGUGGAAACCUUUGUGCAACAGUGCCCAGUGUGUCAAAGGUCAAAAGGGGAACACUGCCAUUAUCCUGGUUUGUUAGAUCCACUCCCAAUUCCUGACAUGGCCUGGAGGCACAUUUCUAUGGACUUUGCGGAAGGAUUGCCCAAGUCCCAAGGGAAGGAUGUGAUCUUAGUUGUUGUUGACAGAUUCACUAAAUAUUCCCAUUUUAUUGCUCUGUCUCACCCCUUCACUGUCACUACAGUACUGCAAGCCUUUAUUGACAAUGUGUUCAAGCUCCAUGGCAUGCCUGUGUCCAUAGUGACAGAUAGAGACAGGAUUUUCACUAGUAAUUUUUGGCAAGCUCUGUUUAAAUCCAUGGGAGUUAAACUAAACAUGAGCACAUCCCACCAUCCUCAAUCUGAUGGACAAACUGAGCGUGUGAACCAGUGCUUGGAAGCUUAUCUCAGGAACAUGGCUUUUAAUGAACCAAAGAAAUGGUACUCUUGGCUAGCCCUAGCAGAGUGGUGGUUCAACACAUCUUACCAUACAACAACAAAAUUCACACCAUUUCAGUGUCUCUAUGGAUUCCCACCCCCACAAAUAGGAGAAGUGUCUAUCCCUGGACCCACUGACUCAGAAGCAAUAGCAUUUCAACAGCAAAAAGACCAUAUACAACAACAGCUCAAACACAACUUGAUCAUAGCACAACAGAGAAUGAAGAAGUAUGCAGACAGAAAUAGAACAGAUAGACAGCUUCGGGAAGGAGAAAUGGUAUACUUAAAAAUGCUGCCCUACAGAUUAGCAGCUUUCAACAUAAGUACAAGGUUGAAGCUGGCUACUAAAUUCUAUGGGCCUUACAGAAUCUUACAAAAGAUUGGCAACUCCUCAUACAAACUGUUACUACCUGAUGAUGUACAGAUACACAAUGUUUUCCAUGUCAGUCAAUUGAAGAGACAUUUGGGGCCCUUGGCCGUACCAGCUCCAGGUCUGCCAUUGGUGGAUGAGUCGGGCAAGAUCAAGGUUUCUCCUGUUCUGGUGCUGGAAACUCGAGCAGUCCCACGGCCUCCCAAGCUUGUUACUCAGUGGCUUGUCCAGUGGCUCAAUAUGUCACCUGAAGAAGCAACUUGGGAAGAUGCAGAUUUCAUCAAGUCAACCUUCCCUGAGUUCUUCAACUCCACCAUUCGCUCCUGGUUUCCAACACCCGAUCCUCGAGGACAAGGAUCGUCUUCAGCGGCGGGCAAUUGUCAGGACCCGGCUGAUCUGCAGCUCCUAACUGAAGAACAGAGCAGCUACUCUGAAGAAAUCGACAGCGAUGACGAAGCGGUACGCACUUGGGAAUGGACGGCUGGGAUGAAGCAGAUGGACAUCAACGGACGACAACUGUAACGGGUUCUGUUCACCUUCACGCCAUUUUUCGCCACCCUCCUGAAGCCUACAGUGACGGAGCGCGUCAGCCCCAGCGUCGCCACCAACCUACCAGCUAUUUAGCCCCUUCGAGACGUCUCUGGAGUCAUCUUUCCCUUUCUCCAAGUUGUAAUAGCUAGCCUAAGCUUAGAACCCUAGACUACUUGGUAGAAUUCGGGCAGAUCCUCGAUCUGAACCCCUGUAUCUGUACUCUGUUCCUCAAAUUAAUCCAAUCGGGGCUAGUUCGAGUAGCGGUGUUGUUGAUCGGUGUAAUUUGGUCCUGUCAGUGCUUCACGGUCGACCUAGCAAAUAGAUCGAGGGGAGCUGCGUCGUAU